CUGCAGCCCGAGUGGCAAUCGUAUUUAUUUGGCCUAAAGCGUCCGUAGCUGGUUAAGUAAAUCUCUUGUGAAAUUGUUUGGCUUAACCAAACAGCGUGCAGGAGAGACUGCUUAGCUAGGGACCGGGAGGAGUCAGAGGUAUGCUGGGGGGAGCGGUAAAAUGCAAUAAUCCUCGGUAGACCACCUGUGGCGAAGGCGUCUGACUAGAACGGGUCCGACAGUGAGGGACGAAAGCCAGGGGAGCAAACCGGAUUAGAUACCCGAGUAGUCC
rnacentral:rRNA from 1 species